GAUUCCCUGCCCGGCACGUGAUGUGUCGUACAAGUGAGCCAACACUUCACUCAUGGGAUUCCGGAGUUUCCGGUCCAAGGACAGGCCUCCCCGGAGGACUUCCGCGGUCCGGAACAGGAAACCCACCUGGAGCAACUCGGUUCAGUUGCUUCCGACGCACACGACCGGGCGGGGUAGCC
rnacentral:other from 1 species